rnacentral:lncRNA from 1 species
AAAUUCUGAAAUUUGAUUAAACCUGCAACCAUGCAGUCUCGAUCCUUUAACGUGUAAGAACAAAAUGGCGUAACACUUUCCUGGACCCCACUGAAGCGUCACACAUUUUAUGAACAUUGUAAGGCAAUAGAAAUUCGAUUGUUCAAGAAUUGAAGAAAUCAUGUCCUUAACUGAUAUGGAUUGCGUUAUUUUCAGGAGAACCCCCGGACGGAGUCAACAGUGGUCGACGAAGACGAGCUGCCGCCUCCGGACAUGGAGCUCUUGGGCUCGGAAGGCGACACAAUCUCCGAGGAGGACCUGCCUCAACCGCCGGAGUUCGACGACCUACCGCUCCCGGAGGACCUGGCCGAGCUGGACGAGUACGUGGUGACGCCGGAGAUCCGGGACCAGAUGGUCCGGCGCAACACCAUCAUCGCGGAGACCCGGCUCUCGGGGCUCUCGGCCGCCUCCAUGAACGAGUCCUCCUCGGAGAUCGACUCCUCCCUGUCGAGCGCGGCGACCAAGAUCCAGGCCGGGAUCCGAGGCUACCUCACGCGGAAGCACCUCAAGAACACCUCCUCCACGACGGCCCCCUCCAUGGACGACUCGGAUCUCUCGACCGGCGAGCCGAACCAGAUCAAGAAGGCCCUCUCCGUCGAGGAGACCGAGAUCCAGCGGCAUCCCUUCUCCCCGGAUGAAAAGUACAUGGUGGGGAAGCGGAUGUCCCUGGACUCGCGAAUCAACCCCUCGAGCGGGAGCCGGGGGCGGGCACCGAUGCGGAGCACGAUGUCGGAGUGCGCCGACGACCGGGACCAGUGGUUCGUGGGCUCCGAGGCGGAGGAGAAGGCGGCGGCGCGGAUCCAGUCCGGCUACCGGGGCUACAAGACGCGGCAGCGGCUCAAGCGCGGCGACGCAGUCCAGCAGCCCACGACGAGCAGCAGCGUCACCCCGGCCUCCGCCUCCCCCGCCACCGCCGCCUCCCCCCGCACCCACUCCGCCGCCAGCGAGGAGCCACCCACCCCCAAGCACACCGGCGAGUAUCAUGACGUCCUCGCCCUGUCACCGCCAGUCCUCCACAGCGGUCAGUACCCACUUCUUUCAUCAUGAUUGUUGACCAAAAACAAAUUUUCACCUUGGAUCGGCUGGAUCGUGUGAAUUCGAUCCAGUGAAUCUGUAUCUCCUUACAAACCGGAUCCUCGUUUUCGGGGUUUACCAAUAGGGUAGUUCAGCAUAAGCGGACUGGCUCCUCGAAGCGGCCCGGGAAAUCGCCAACAGACCGACCCACAGACUGUGGGCAGGUCUGUGGUCACAGUGGAUCGAGUCAAUGGGAGAGGUCGGACAAAAUUUGGAAACUUAAAAAGCGCAUAACUCCGUUAAAUCAAAACAUUGAGACUUUAGAAGUGAUCCCAUUGGUUUCCUCGUGA